rnacentral:rRNA from 1 species
CGCAGCCGCGGUAAUUCCAGCUCCAAUAGCGUAUAUUAAAGUUGCUGCAGUUAAAAAGCUCGUAGUUGAAUUUCGGGACCAAUAUGUCGGUCGUGCCUCGGUACGUACUGGCAUCGUUGGUUUCUCCCUUCUGACGAACCAUGAUGUCAUUUAUUUGGUGUCGUGGGGAAUCAGGACUGUUACUUUGAAAAAAUUAGAGUGUUUAAAGCAGGCUCACGCUUGAAUACAUUAGCAUGGAAUAAUGAAAUAGGACGUUUGAUUCUAUUUUGUUGGUUUCUAGGAUCGACGUAAUGAUUAAUAGGGAUAGUUGGGGGCAUUAGUAUUCAAUUGUCAGAGGUGAAAUUCUUGGAUUUAUUGAAGACUAACUACUGCGAAAGCAUUUGCCAAGGAUGUUUUCAUUAAUCAAGAACGAAAGUUAGGGGAUCGAAGACGAUCAGAUACCGUCGUAGUCUUAACCAUAAACUAUGCCGACUAGGGAUCGGAUGAUGUAAUUUUUAAUGG